GAACCGCUUAAGCUAAAUCAAUAAAUAAAAGUGAUUCUGAAAGCUAUUAUAAUAGUCUAUAAGAUUGAAUUAAAAAAAUAUUUAUUUGAUUAUGCUUUUUUACCGAAAAGUUGACCGGAAGUCUUUCUUAGUGUGACUCUGGCAACACAUUUUUGAACAUUAAAACUUAAAUUCACGAAAAAGCAUAUAACCCGGUCAAAGUCUGUAAAUUGAUUCUUAAAGAUAUUUAAAUGAAAAUUAAUAUGAUAUAAAAGAAAAAAUAAAUAUAUUACUAUAAAAGGGCAAAAAGUUGACCGGA
rnacentral:lncRNA from 1 species